AUGUUUUUUGUUGUGUUUUUUUUUUUUUUUUUUUUCUAGUGAGAUUAUACUGAACUGAACCUUUAUUAAACAAGACUGUAGAAUUGUUAUUUUCCCAAUCGAAAUACCCAGUGUUAUUCAUCACGGCUUUGAAACAGCCCACAUCACAUCGGUAUUUUGUCAGACUGAAUGAAAAUCUCCUUACGAGUAAAAGAACAACACGGUUAAUGAGGAUUUGUUGUUUGUAAAUUGUUAGCUGCUGUAACCUCUGGUUUUAGUUCAUUUGUGUUUCUUGAUUUGAGGUUAAUCCCUCAAAGCUGUGUUGUGGACUGGUUUCUUACAGCACUAUUUGUUGCGUGCCUGAGAUCGCAAGUAGGCCGCCUACGUCAAUAAUCUAAAACACAGUGUGUUUAUUAAGUGGUCCUGGCACGGAGAUCCUUGAGCCAAUGUUGGCCUUUGUCCAUGAGAGAAGAGUGACUUUACGCCCUGUAACUACGGCCUGUAGCUACCCAACACGAGGUCGCUGGGCACUCGCAGUCAAGAGAAACUAACCUUCCACGGCAGUUGCAGACCCCCCAAGAUCAAUCCUGGUCGUUCCUUGAGCCCGAUUAAAAGCAAGUCCCUGACUAUUAUGUGUCAGAUCUUCAAAGAUUGAAUGGUCUUUGGUUGAGACUCGGAUUGCAGAGAGACGAUAUCAAUGACUUGUGAAGUUUAUUAUCAACAUCGUCAAGAUUUUUUACCCCUUUAUUUAAUAUUGGAGUUUAACCUGCAGACGGGCCUGCCAGUUUGCAUGUCCUUCACGCUUGAACCGUGCUUGAACGUCGCGGGGAACAUUACGUAAAACUGUCAAUGCGGCGGUGUAGAGGUUGGGUGAGGACGACACGUGUAACAUC
rnacentral:lncRNA from 1 species